rnacentral:snRNA from 1 species
AUCGCUUCUCGGCCUUUUGGCUAACAUCAAGUGUAGUAUCUGUUCUUAUCAGUUUAACAUAUAGUUAAUGUUGUAUAUGUGUGUAGCAUUUUUAUAGUUCUCAAAGGCAUGUAUAGUACAGUGCUUGAAUUUUGCUGGGAAUUUGGAAGGACUUCAAGGAAAGGGAAAAAAAC